GCCGUUGUAGCUCAGUUGGUAGAGCAACGCAUUCGUAAUGCGUAGGUCGGGGGUUCGAGUCCCCCCAACGGCU
rnacentral:tRNA from 1 species